ACAGAUAUUACCUUUCAGCCCACUGACGCCUAGGGCAACUGCAUAAACACAAGUGUACAGCACAAUUUUUAUCACAAACUUGCGAAAACAUCCGGCUAGAUUUGACACCCAACCCGCCCUCUCUUUUUUGCAGAUGAAAUCAUGCAAGCCUGUACCAUUAAAAGGAGUUAGCUACUGAUUGAAAAUUUGACAUCUGCUAGGCAAUCACAUAAUUUUACAGCAUCACACUUUUUCUGCACAUCACACUAGGUAAGAGGAGCGUGAGACCCAGGCUCCACGAGGGUCACUGCAGGUUGGCACAUCCAAACAAACAUAAGCAGCAAGCACAGUGCUAGGAAAUAAACUUUGUGCGACAACGUAACGGGGCUUAAGUUCGGCAAGGAGCGGCACAGUUUCCGCAUCCUGUUAUUGAACUCCACUUCCUCGGCUAACCUUGCCAGCAGCCACCUUGACAAACCUCAGCUACACAACAAUAGUAUGCGGCACCGGCACCGCCCCGUUAGCAACAGAUGCACGCCCCGUUUCAUUUGUCGGUUGCACGCUCUGCCGAGUAAAGCAACAUCUGGCUGCUUGUACUUGCACCGGCACCACCAUUGUUUUCUUUUGCCAACAUCUGCAUUUCAUCAUAAUAGAGAACUUCAGACUAACAUGCGAGGAAUACAUAGCUGCAUUUACCAAUUUCGUAAAAAAUGAUUCAUAGUGAGCAAUAAUCUCUUUUUUUUUCUGAGAUGACUGACGAGUUCCAUUCUGAUGAACGGUGUUCCUUUCAAGCUUCAGGAUAUACAAACAGAACAUUUUGUGAGACAUGGUUCGUAUGCACGUUUACUGUGUCCAGCUUACAAAUGGUUGACUCUAGAAUAGUAAGGCAGCACGAUCCACUUGCCGUCGAAAUCAUACCAAAAAAGCUCAAUUAGAAUAUAACAAGAAUGACUUUUGGCGUUUGUUAUCUUGUCCUACUUAAGAGUAGAGCUACAUAACUGAGUUGAGCUCUGACAGGGCUUCCGGCCAUUGAUGUUAGAUUUUCACAUAAUAUUUUUUAGCUGUCCCUUAAUUAAGAAUGGAAUUGACACAGUUUUAAGUAAAAUCGGACCCAAAACCUACGCAAGGUGUACAAACUACCCAAGCAAUGGCAGCCUCACACAUAAAACUCAUCCAGAGUCAUCGUUGUCGAGCUCAACAUAAUGGACCAAAGAAAACUGGACGACGUCUAUAGCCAAACACUAACACAAAUGGAGGAAGACCGCGGAGCGUCGUCAUUGUCAAGCCUCGAGACACCACACGUGAGGCAGCUCCGAUUCUUCACGAACGGGACUUUCAAUCUUGAUCUUCCGCCUCGUUCCCAACAUAUGCCUAACCUCAGAAGCAAUCCUUCCACGAAGAAGGGGGCGUCUCACGUCAUCAUUGACGAGCCACAUCCCCUGACGUAGCAGCUUCGACUUUACGCUCCAACACCGUACCUCCACCCGCAUACCAAACGCUAAGAAGCGAAAGCAUCUACAGAAAAGCGAUGUCGUGGUCGGGACAAAACUUCAAUAGCGACCUCUUCAGGAAGGGAGUGACGUUGCAGACGUCAUCGUCGCAUGUCCAAGAUGACAGGCUUUCACCCAUAGAAGACAGUGCUGAGGAAUGCGACGCUCUCAAGUGGGUAAGCGACGCUCACGAGCGUCAUCGGCGUCGAAAGCCUUGACGAAGUCCCCCAACACAACGUCAAGUCAAGGUCAAAGCAAGCUACCUCCGUCGUCGUCGUUGCCCCGACACCCGCACAAACCUUCCAGAUGGGCAUCGACGCACCGAUUGCCGCGGCAGCUGCCACCCCUCGAGUUGGGCAGAUGGAACCGGGCACCACCAUGCCACGUGCGACACUACCACGCGCCGGAGUCGUUGCUAGCAGUUGUCGUCGACCCUGGAAAAUGCGGCCACCUAAGCCAGCAGUCGUCGGGCGUGUCUCGCAACUCGUUGCCAGCAGUCGCCUGGUGCAGCACCCCUCGGCUAGCCAAACCUUAUAGCAACAGCCGUGACGUGGCGGGUCUGAGGUGCUGGCGCGCGCACCACAGCCGGCGCCGCUGGGGCCACUUUGCUAGCCCACCGUCGCCCCGAGCUGACACGUUCUCGGCUGCCGUCGAGCCACCCAACCUCGGAGCACCGCCGUAGGACCAGACCGCAGCCACCGCCGCCCUAACCCCUCUCGGCCUCCAAGCUUCGCACGUCAUUGGUCGACAGCAUCUUCCCUGUUUUGGCAAUGCGAGGAGACGAGCUCGCCCACGGCGACGUGGAGCAGGAAGCCAACGCUGAAGCCGUCCUGGAGGCCGUGGCUGAGCUUGCGGAGCGCCAAGACGUGGCCGAGCCACGCUUCCCGCACACACAACGCCACGCCCGCGUGUGGGACCUUGUCCACCUAGACGCCACCACGGCACACGCCCGCCUACCUGCCGCCGCGUCGCGACUAAGCUGCACAGCAAACCCUUUCAAAUCUAAAGCAUAGGGAGACCAAUCGAAAGAAGAACUUUUCGUGCCGCCAUCCUUGGGGCCCGUGCUGGCCUACGGCGGACUCCUCCAGCGACUGCGAGGGGGUGGAGGGAGGCGGAGGGGGUGGCAGCGCUAGGGUUUAGAGUUUAGGGGCAACCUGUGUCGCUCGAGCGGAGGACGAUGCGGGGGCUGGGGUCGGGACGUUGCUCACCUCACUGGAUAUCCUUCUUUCACAUAAUACUAGAGCAGUACUAGGACGAUGCCACUUCUGUUGUCUCAUAUUAUUAACGACGUCUUUGAAAAUAUGACACCAUAUACUCUCUGGUUGACUGGUUGACACCUAGCAGCUAAUAUCAUUGUUCAAUGCUGACCAACACGCAAUGUUUUGAAUAUUUUUAC
rnacentral:lncRNA from 1 species